UGGUCGACGAUGAUGUGACCACUGUGCGGUGUGAGUCUUGGGAACCGGGUGAUGGAGUGUGUUCUGAGAACCAACUGAGACUG